AUUUUCUUGGUGAGAUCAUUUCAGUGUUUCCAUUUUGUAAUGUUUACCUUUAUGUCUACCAUUAGCUUCAGCAUUUUUCUACUAAACUUCACUUCAUCUGGUUCAAAAAACUGGGGUCCUAUUACAACAUUUGUUUCUUCAUUUAAUCUGGGGUCCCACUCCUACUCCUAUAUUUUCUUUUGAAUCUCAGCAUAUAUUUCAUCCAACAUUUUACCAAGUAUAUCUCCUCUAUCCUAUGAGAAUAAAUUAGGUAUUUUAGUCCUAUCUCCUACAUUCUCAAGCAAUAACAUACUUCAAUACGCCUUUUAUCUCUAUUUAAUUUGUCAGGGGAUACAUUAAAGUUGAAACUUUUUUAUCCAAGCAUGUAAUUUCUGAUUUCGCUAGACACUUUGUGAUGGUAGAGAAAAGACAAGCGCAUUGUUGAAACAGCUUAAUGUUACUUCAUCAUG
rnacentral:misc_RNA from 1 species